AGUGAACGCUGGCGGUAGGCCUAACACAUGCAAGUCGAACGGCAGCACAGUAAGAGCUUGCUCUUACGGGUGGCGAGUGGCGGACGGGUGAGGAAUACAUCGGAAUCUACUUUUUCGUGGGGGAUAACGUAGGGAAACUUACGCUAAUACCGCAUACGACCUACGGGUGAAAGCAGGGGAUCUUCGGACCUUGCGCGAUUGAAUGAGCCGAUGUCGGAUUAGCUAGUUGGCGGGGUAAAGGCCCACCAAGGCGACGAUCCGUAGCUGGUCUGAGAGGAUGGGGAGGCAGACGGGAUAUGAGACAGAGUACAGACGCCUGCGGGAGGCAGCAGUGGGGAGUAGGGGACGAUGGGCGGAAGGUUGUUCAGGCCCUACGGCGUGAGUGAAGAGGGCCUUAUGAUUGUAAAGCCUCUUUGUGGGUAAAGAAAAGCAGCAGGUUAAUACCCCGCUGGUCUGACGGUACGGAAAGAAUAAGCAACGGCGAACUUCGUG
rnacentral:rRNA from 1 species